GUGCUCACUUCAACAGCACGUAUACUAAAAUUGGAAAAAUACAGAGGUGAACAUGGCCCCCACAAAGAUGACAUGCAAAUUCAUGAAACAGUUCAUGUUUUU
ensembl:snRNA U6 U6 spliceosomal RNA